UAAGCGGAGGAAAAGAAACUAACAAUGAUUCCCCUAGUAAUUGCGAGUGAAGAGGGAUAAGCUCAAAUUUUAAAUCUGUCAGGUCAUACCUGAUCGAGUUGUAAUUUGAAGAGGGUGUUUUCUGCGUGGUUUGAUCAGCCCAAGUCCUAUUGAAUGAGGCAUCAUGGAGGGUGAUAAUCCCGUUCGGCUGAUCAAUGCGUUUUACGAUACACCUUCUAAGAGUCAAGUUGUUUGGGAUUGCAGCUUAAAAUGGGAGGUAAAUUUCACCUAAGGCUAAAUAUUGGCGAGAGACCGAUAGCGAACAAGUACCGUGAGGGAAAGAUGAAAAGAACUUUGAAAAGAGAGUUAAACAGUACGUGAAAUUGAUUGAAAGGGAAACGAUUGAAGUCAGUCAUGCUAAAGUAGGGAAUCAACUUGAUGGUGUGUUAAUUCAUUAGCACGCUUUCUUGUGUACUUCCUUAUUUGGCAGGUUAGCAUCAAUUUUGGUUCAUCAUAAAAAAAUUUUGAGGAAAAUGUGGCUUCCUUCGGGAAGUGUUUAUAGACCUUAAUAUAUGUGGUGACCGGGAUUGAGGAUUGCAGCGAAUGCUUUUGGCAGUCACCUUCCUUCUGACGGUCACCCGCUUCUGAUAGCAUGCUAACUUUGGUGGGACACGGAAGUCUUAGAGGGCGGAGUGAUCUUAAAUUCGCUAAGGAUGCUGACGUAAUGGCUUUAAACGACCCGUCUUGAAACACGGACCAAGGAGUCUAACAUGUAUGCGAGUGUU
rnacentral:rRNA from 1 species